UGUGAUCUGUCAACAGUGCCUUUCCUAAAGCUGAUUUCUGAAAAAGAAGGAAGAAUUUUGCUUGCCUCACUUUUUGAGUCUAAGCAUUCUUCUCUUAUUGCUAAAACAGGAAUGAACAACUUCUCCAAUUUUGAAAUCACACAAUUUCUGCUAGCCUAAGAUAACCACAAAACAUGAUUCAGCAACUUUCCUGGUUAAAUUGUACAAUUAGUUAGUUGAACAACUAUGUAUUUUUAUGCCCUAGUUUCAUACUAGAGUCUAACCCUUUAGAUCUUUUGACGAAGGUCUAGACCAGCCUUGUAUUUAGGUGAUACCAUAAUCGUAAUUUCCCUGGUGAAUGUGAAACAUUAACAGUUUAAGAAAAGAGAGUGGCUUGGUUAAUUUUUAAUAUAGGACCCUAGCCCCUGCUUUUUGGGAAGAAGAGUCAAGAUCAAUCUCUACCCAACUAGUCAUUUUCUCAAAUGGUAGGUGAUGUUUUACAGUUCAUUGUUUCCUUGAAGAACACUCAGCUCUAGGGACAAUGUGCAUGUGACUUGUGAGGUUGACUCCAGAGACAAAGCCUCACGUGCCAGGAUCUUUAUUUUCUCUAUACAGGAAAAUCCACAUGCUACGCUGACCAUGUCUUUGGCACAGACAAACUUCUGCAGGAAGCAGGGAUUUGAUCCCCAAAGUCCCCUCUGUGCUCACAUAAUACUGUCAGGAACCGUUACCAAGGUGAACCAGACGGAAAUGGGCUUUGCUAAGCAUUCCCUGUUUGUCCGACACCCUGAGAUGAAAACCUGGCCGUCCAGCCAUAAUUGGUUCUUUGCCAAGUUGAAUAUAACCAACAUCUGGGUCCUGGACUACUUUGGUGGACCCAAAAUAGUGACACCUGAAGAAUAUUAUAAUGUCACAUUUCAGUGAAGCAGAACACGGCGUCUUGAACAACACCCCGGAGGUGGCUGUGGAUGGCUUAUGCACACCUGAAGGCCUUAAUGUUUCUCUGUAGAACAUUUCCCAGAUGGGUUUGUUGGCUUUGCUUGCUUGCUUGUUUACAAAAUAGAGUUGCACUAUUCCUGGAUUUCUUGGAAGAUGUGGUUGCUA